rnacentral:rRNA from 1 species
GACGUAGGGCGCAAGCGUUGUCCGGAUUUAUUGGGCGUAAAGAGCUCGUAGGCGGUCUGUCGCGUCGGUCGUGAAAACCUGCAGCUUAACUGUGGGCGUGCGGUCGAUACGGGCAUCACUGGAGUUCGGCAGGGGAGACUGGAAUUCCUGGUGUAGCGGUGAAAUGCGCAGAUAUCAGGAGGAACACCGGUGGCGAAGGCGGGUCUCUGGGCCGAUACUGACGCUGAGGAGCGAAAGCGUGGGGAGCGAACAGG